rnacentral:rRNA from 1 species
GACGAACGCUGGCGGCGUGCUUAACACAUGCAAGUCGAACGGAAAGGCCCUGCUUUUGUGGGGUGCUCGAGUGGCGAACGGGUGAGUAACACGUGAGUAACCUGCCCUUGACUUUGGGAUAACUUCAGGAAACUGGGGCUAAUACCGGAUAGGAGCUCCUGCUUCAUUGUGGGGGUUGGAAAGUUUCGGCGGUUGGGGAUGGACUCGCGGCUUAUCAGCUUGUUGGUGGGGUAGUGGAUUACCAAGGCUUUGACGGGUAGCCGGCCUGAGAGGGUGACCGGCCACAUUGGGACUGAGAUACGGCCCAGACUACUACGGGAGGCAGCAGUGGGGAAUAUUGCACAAUGGGCGGAAGCCUGAUGCAGCAACGCCGCGUGCGGGAUGACGGCCUUCGGGUUGUAAACCGCUUUCGCCUGUGACGAAGCGUGAGUGACGGUAAUGGGUAAAGAAGCACCGGCUAACUACGUG